rnacentral:lncRNA from 10 species
ACCUUCCGGGGAUACAGCCAAAGGAGGAUCCUUUGCUUCAGAUGAUCCUGGAUCAUGGAGCCAUGAAGAUGUUGAUAGUUGGAUAUCAGGAACAGAUGAUGUCAAUCACUAAUGGGUCACAGUUGACCAGGGGAAACUAAAAUCAUGGGAAACAAAACCAUGGAUAAGGCAGUACUACUGUAUACAGUUGGCCCUCCAUAGCCAUGCACUCUGCAUCAGUGGAUUCAAUCAGCCAUGGAUAAAAAAAUGUUUGAAAAGUUUAAAAGAAUGGUUGUUUCUGUACUGAACAGGUUAGGUGUUCAAGCUGUGUUAAAUCACAUCCCUGAUGUUUAUGUGGUCAGGAUAUGUGCCCUUGAGUGACCAAGCAGAAGUGCAUCUUCAAUGUUAGCUAAAUACACCUCUAACGUAUUGAAGGAAAAAAUUCAAACCAGACAGAGAGGACUG